CUGGUCACCAGGUGUUCUGGGUGUCUCUCUCUGAUGUGACAGGCUGAUGCACUGAUAUUUUGUCCCUGGAGUCCACGGCACCUCUUCACUCAACACCCCGCUACUGUGUGGCCUUCAACCUCAUCUGAUCAGAAAUAACUGCCCUGUCUCUAGUCAGGUUCGAGGCACCAGGAUCCUUCCCACCCACCUCUGCCUAUCAUCAGAGCUGGAGAGGCCAGCAUACACAUGACUUAGAGGAAAGAAAGAAAAGAUGGAGGAAGCAUGAUGCUGUGGAGCAAGAGCACAGAGCCACUCCAGCCUGUGUUCAGCAACCGCUCGAUAAGGGUCAACACACAGCAGCUACUACAACUGCUGUUCAAGGGCAUCCAGGCUACACCGUGAGCUACUGGCAGAAUUUGGCAUGGAAGAUGCAAGAGU